rnacentral:rRNA from 1 species
AGCGAACGCUGGCGGCAGGCUUAACACAUGCAAGUCGAGCGGGCAUAGCAAUAUGUCAGCGGCAGACGGGUGAGUAACGCGUGGGAACGUACCUUUUGGUUCGGAACAACACAGGGAAACUUGUGCUAAUACCGGAUAAGCCCUUACGGGGAAAGAUUUAUCGCCGAAAGAUCGGCCCGCGUCUGAUUAGCUAGUUGGUGAGGUAAUGGCUCAUCAAGGCGACGAUCAGUAGCUGGUCUGAGAGGAUGAUUAGCCACAUUGGGACUGAGACACGGCCCAAACUCCUACGGGAGGCAGCAGUGGGGAAUAUUGGACAAUGGGCGCAAGCCUGAUCCAGCCAUGCCGCGUGAGUGAUGAAGGCCCUAGGGUUGUAAAGCUCUUUUGUGCGGGAAGAUAAUGACGGUACCGCAAGAAUAAGCCCCGGCUAACUUCGUGCCAGCAGCCGCCGCUG